rnacentral:rRNA from 1 species
CGGUAAAAGCUCAAAUUUGAAAUCUGGCUCUUUUAGAGUCCGAAUUGUAAUUUGUAGAAGAUGCUUCGGGUGUGGUUCCGGUCUAAGUUCCUUGGAACAGGACGUCAUAGAGGGUGAGAAUCCCGUAUGUGACUGGAUACUUAUGCUCAUGUGAAGCUCUUUCGAC